CCUACGGGCGGCAGCAGUGGGGAAUAUUGGGCAAUGGGCGCAAGCCUGACCCAGCAACGCCGCGUGAAGGAAGAAGGCUUUCGGGUUGUAAACUUCUUUUGUCAGGGAAGAGUAGAAGACGGUACCUGACGAAUAAGCCACGGCUAACGACGUGCCAGCAGCCGCGGUAAUACGUAGGGGGCAGGCGUUGUCCGGAUUUACUGGGUGUAAAGGGCGGGUAGCCGGGUUGACAAGUCAGAUGUGAAAUCCUGCGGCUUAACCGCAGAACUGCAAUUGAAACUGUUGAUCUUGAGUACUGGAGAGGCAGACGGAAUUCCUAGUGUAGCGGUGAAAUGCGUAGAUAUUAGGAGGAACACCAGUGGCGAAGGCGGUCUGCUGGACAGCAACUGACGGUGAGGCGCGAAAGCGUGGGGAGCAAACAGGAUUAGAUACCCUUGUAGUC
rnacentral:rRNA from 1 species